UUGGGAUUCGACGGGAACAGUUCGAGCGUCGGUAGCGAGCCGUGGGGCUGCGUCCUUCGUUAAAAACGCGGAUUGCCUAAAUGUAACUGGCAAACAAGAAAACUACGCUCUGGCUGCUUAAUAGCUGGCCAGGAUCCAUGGCUCCAUCGCCCGUGUGGAGUUCUUGGGUCUCAUAACUGAAGCGGGCUAGCUGACUGGAGGCGCUAUCGGCCGGAAAGCGAACCUUAGAUAGCUGGCUCUUUGAAGCGCCUGUCGUUGGGCAGUUCAAAGAGUGAGAUCUCAAUACAGCGACUGCGCUCGGAGAAUCCGACGUGGCGAUGUU
rnacentral:tmRNA from 1 species